GCUUGUCUCAAAGAUUAAGCCAUGCAUGUCUAAGUAUAAAUGGUAUACAGUGAAACUGCGAAUGGCUCAUUAAAACAGUUAUAGUUUAUUUGGUAUUCGAAUUUACAUGGAUAACCGUGGUAAUUCUAGAGCUAAUACAUGCGUCAAGCCCCGACUUCGGAAGGGGUGUAUUUAUUAGAUUCAAAGCCAACCGUGUAAAAAGCGUACCUUGGUGAUUCAUAAUAACUUGUCGAACCGCACGCCCUUGAGGCAGCGGUGAUUCAUUCAAAUUUCUGCCCUAUCAGCUUUGGAUGGUAGGGUAUUGGCCUACCAUGGCUUUAACGGGUAACGGAGAAUUAGGGUUCGAUUCCGGAGAGGGAGCCUGAGAAAUGGCUACCACAUCCAAGGAAGGCAGCAGG
rnacentral:rRNA from 1 species